GUCAUGGCGGCGCCCAGCCGCGGCGAGAGGCGCGGGUUGCGGCCUCUGGCCCUGCGGUGGCGCUGCUCCCAGGGAUGCAGCGGUGCUCAGACUACUCCCUCUGCCCCCUCACACUUAGUUCUUAAAUAGGGAUGGCAAAAUCAAUUUCACAGGUGAAGAACCUGAAACUCAGAAAGAUUACAUAUUGCUUGUGGUGGUGGUGGUUGUUUUUUCUUACAAGAUCACACAGCAAGUAGAAGGCCAAGGUGACCCUUUGUCUGGAGCACAGUGCAAGAUUCGUGGUUCCUAGAAGUAUCUGCAGAGUCAACCUGGCUCUUCAAAGACAAAAGGAGACCUGGAGCUAAACAGAAGUUCUGCAGAGGUUACAUGAUGUAUGAAGGAACAGAUUGAAUGCAAAGGAGACGUGAGAAUCCAGUUGUCUGCUCUUUAGCCAGACAUUAAAGAAAUCUGCAAAAACAUAA